CUCACUUUGUUGCUUAUCACAUAGGCAGACAUUUUGUGAAAUGAAAAUAUACCAUAAGAUCCAUAUAUACUGGGUUACUGACAUGCUGAGAGAGGAGGAAUCUUGUUUGAAGAGCUCCUCCUCCAGCUUAAUAUGGUAGUUAGCUGGCAAUCCCAUGGCAGCAUGCUAUAAUGGGGUUUUACUGACUUCUGGAAACAAAAUAUGGAUGACACAUUGUCAGAAAGCUCAAUCCACAUCUUCUCAAAGUGAAGAUCAUGAACCUGAUGGAGUGGAUGCUGUUAUUUGGCACAACCUUAGAUUUGUAGCAAUCUCCUUCCAGCAAAUGGCAAUGGGCUCAGACCUCAGGGGAAUUUCAGGAUUCAACCCAUGGAACUGUAUGAGAGAACUCAUGCAGCAGAUAGAUUCCUC